CCAGUAGCUUACUGCAUCCCUCACUUCAUCCAUCACCCCCUGUCUCUCUCAGUCUUUGCACUUGUAUCAGGACUUCCUGUAUUUUUCCACCUUGCUUUCUCUGCAUUCAGAGUCGUGUUUUUCUAAUAACUCCAGCCAUGGUUUCCUCCCUGCUUUUGUAGCAGCAGCUGUGUUGAAGCAGGUACUGGACGCUAUCUGGCCUACCAAACAAACAGCGUUAUCUCCAACAGAAACAUGGAUCCACAGGCCUCGUCUGUCUCAGUCCACUGAAGGACAUCAACCUCGAUAAAAGAUUUACAGUUCUUGUUGCUACAUGAGAAACUGGGUCUGCAAUGUCAACGGCAUCCUGUACUGUGUGAGGGCAGUCGCACUGUAAACGGGGGCUGUGGCGACCCCUGGUGGCGGUGGGCGGAGCCUGCAGGGAU